rnacentral:rRNA from 1 species
CACGUAGGGGGCGAGCGUUGUCCGGAUUUAUUGGGCGUAAAGAGCUCGUAGGCGGCUCGGUAAGUCAGGUGUGAAAACUCUAGGCUCAACCUAGAGACGCCACCUGAUACUGCUGUGGCUAGAGUCCGGUAGGGGAGCAUGGAAUUCCUGGUGUAGCGGUGAAAUGCGCAGAUAUCAGGAGGAACACCAGUGGCGAAGGCGGUGCCCUGGGCCGGAACUGACGCUGAGGAGCGAAAGCGUGGGGAGCAAACAGG